GUGCAUAUUUGGUGAGCUGUAUGAAGCCUAUUCUAAUAAAGAGUAAGUCAAUAAACACGUCGUUUUGUAUCGUAUAGGUUGACACUUUCUUUCUUCGCCGUCGCAAUAUCGAUAUCGGGUCACACCCUAGGGUUUCGAUUCAGAUUUUUUUUUUUUUUUUUUGAAAAAAGGGCUUCUGGGUUUCGAUUCAGUUGCUUCAUCUUCUUCAUUCCGAUCCAGAAAUCUACCAGUUACGGAUUCAUCAUUUUAAAGUUCUCCUUAAAUCCAUCCUCCACGAUCAACAUUCAAUGUUAGCUUCGCUCUUGCAAAGCGGUGGAGAUUCGAGUAUAAAAAGGUGUUAUGAUCUUAUAUAUCAUGGUCAUUUUAAAAAAAAAGUUUUUCGUUGUUUCAGUCCACUUUCAUGGCAGCCACCGUGAAUUGACGUGUCUGUGACUCUGAGCCUGUUUGAAUGACAAGCUGUGACGUUUCACAGCAAGCUUGAAGGUUUUGGGGGUGAUCCGCGAGUUGUUGUCGCAUCUAGCAUAAAUCCUAGGAUUGUAGGAGGCCGUCUGUUCUUUAAUGGUAAGUGUUUGAUGAUUCCUACGUUACUACAUUCACCUUCGGUUUGUUGUGAUACUGCUACAUAAUGCCCUCUCACGUGAUAUUUCACAUCGCUGUACGCUGGCUUCUAGAAACAGUUGGAACAACCCCGCACCUUCUUUGCUGAGGGGAUACGCCAAGGUUGAACCACUGAGCAUAUCUAAGCUGAAUAAGUUCGUUCUCACAGCCAAGCCUCAGGUUGUACAGCAUUGAUUUGUUUUAAGUACUGAAAGCUUAUACUCUGUAUGUGAUUCUCAUGAGUUUGCAAUGUACGGAAAUUGAUUUUGUCUGUACUGGAAAGGUGACUGGAAUCAAGAUGGAAAGAGGAAGGUGUUAUGUCUCCUGCUUCAUGUACACGAGGAAGCUCCAACGAACUGUCAUCUCAUUCACUUUCGUGUCCCGCAAUAACACUAAAGCUAUUGGUGUGCUCAGGUACCGUGUGGAAAUGAGCAUUAGCUGAUGACACGAUGAGGGUCUAUUUGUUGAUUUUGGUGGUGAGAUGACCAAACUCCAUAACAUGCGAGCCUACGAAGCUGGUCAUCUCAUGGCUGAUCUCGACCGGGAGUAAACCCAUAGGAGUCUCAGCCACUUCCUUUUAUACAAGGAGAUAUUCAAGGAUCUACAAGACCAAAAGGACAACGGCCGUGUUCGUUUACAUGUCGCGCGACCUGCGACAUGCGACCUGCGAUCGCAGGUUGUUGUUCGUUUUGCUGUCGCGUAACAUGCGACCUGCGAUUGGUCGCAGGUCGCAAGUCGCAGUUGUUGUUCGUUUUGAUGUCGCGCGACUGAUCGCGCGACCAGUCGCGGGUUCCCAUUUAAGUCGCCCGAAAAAACAGCGACUAAAAAUUAAGAAAAUUUUGAUCGCGCGACUGGUCGCAGGUCGCAGAUCGCAGGUCGCGUGACACGUAAACGAACAUAGUUUUAGUCGCAGGUCGCAUGUUUAGUCGCAGGUCGCAAGUCGCAAGUCGCGCGACACAUAACCGAUCGCGCGACACGUAAACGAACAUGGCCAACGUCUCCACUUUUGAAGAAAUUACUCAGUCAGGACCAAGGUUUUGUAUUUGCAGAAAAUGAGAAUUUUAAUCACGAAAACCUUCUCUUUUAUACCAAUUAUUACGGACACACAUACAUUUGGUUAUUUUAACAAUCUACUUUCGUUAGGACA